UAGGGAAUCUUCCACAAUGGGCGCAAGCCUGAUGGAGCAACACCGCGUGAGUGAAGAAGGGUUUCGGCUCGUAAAGCUCUGUUGUUAAAGAAGAACACGUAUGAGAGUGACUGUUCAUACGUUGACGGUAUUUAACCAGAAAGUCACGGCUAACUACGUGCCAG
rnacentral:rRNA from 1 species